CCACUACAGGAAAUUUUCCUUCUCGCGGGAGCGAAAUCCCCGCAUUUCCCCUGUUUUCUCGCAGCAAAUUUGCAGAAACUGCGAUAAUUACUCUUCGCUAAUCGGUCGAAAGUAAAACGUCUGCUCAGUGGAUUUUCGGUGAUAAAUCAUGGGCGGCCGCAAUUGCUGCACCUAACUCGGCGGUUCAUCUCUCGCAGCAAAAUCGUCUUGCCAAUUUGGGAGAAGGGCAAUUACGUUGAUGAGGCGUCGCAAAUUUGGGGCCAUUUACGGCGAUUUUGCGGGUCCGUAAAAUCCAGAAUUCGGCGAAUUUGGGGCUGGCGGAAAUAAGCUUUCUUCCCAAGGUUGCGGUGAAUUUAUAGACGCCGCAAAUUCAAGGAUUUUACAUACGGUGAAAGAUCGAGAUCCCCGCAAUUCUUUUUAUUCAACAUGCGGUGAAUUCGAUUAUCGCGCCGCAAGAAGAUGGUGCUGAUCCAUACGGUGAAAUAGCGAGAUCCCCGCAUUUGGUUUUGAUUAUAUAUGCGGUGAAUUAGAUUACCACACCGCAAUCUCAGAUGGAUUUUAAAUACGGUGAGCAUGUAUGGCGCAGGAAAUGCCAAUUAAUAUCACCGCGCGCUUGCUUACAAAUUUACAGCUGUGUGGGUUAAUGGAUAUGCGGUGAAUAAAUUAUAAGAACCCACUCGCAGAAUUAGAUUGAUGGGUUUUCUGAGCGGUGGCUUCAAACAAUAGUUGAUCAGAGCAAAUUUAUGGGUUUUUGGGUUCACUGAUGCAGCACGUCGUUGCAGUAAUUUAUGGGUUUUUGGAUUCGCUGGCUUCAAAUCACGUUAACGUUAUUUAAAGCUGAUGUUCUUCACCUAGGAAACUCAGUACCCAAAACCAUAUCCGGUGGCUGUGUUGAGUCGUCCGAUGAUGAGUUUUGCUCAACCAUUCGUGUCCACCUACACGGUUGCGACUGAAGUGUCGGACCACUCCAUGUGCACCCUUCACUAGCGCGUAUGCGAGUUUGUGUCAUUCAGGCAUGUCCACCAAGUCCUCUUCUUGUUCCUCUCAUGGCAAAUUGUUGGAUCAAAUGCUUGGAAAUCAAUUCUAUAUGCAACUGUAUUGUAAAAGCUUCUGUCAUGUGAAAUUAGAUAUAUAAACCACUACACAAAUCAUUGUGAAAAUGCAACAUUUCUACAGGCCCAUAAA